rnacentral:rRNA from 2 species
UAAAGAAAGCGUAAUAGCUCACUGGUCGAGUCGGCCUGCGCGGAAGAUGUAACGGGGCUAAACCAUGCACCGAAGCUGCGGCAGCGACACUAUGUGUUGUUGGGUAGGGGAGCGUUCUGUAAGCCUGUGAAGGUGUGCUGUGAGGCAUGCUGGAGGUAUCAGAAGUGCGAAUGCUGACAUAAGUAACGAUAAAGCGGGUGAAAAGCCCGCUCGCCGGAAGACCAAGGGUUCCUGUCCAACGUUAAUCGGGGCAGG